UACGUAGGGUGCAAGCGUUUGUCCGGAAUUAUUGGGCGUAAAGAGCUCGUAGGCGGCUUGUCACGUCGACUGUGAAAACCCGGGGCUCAACUCCGGGCCUGCAGUCGAUACGGGCUGGCUUGAGUGCGGUAGGGGAGACUGGAAUUCCUGGUGUAGCGGUGGAAUGCGCAGAUAUCAGGAGGAACACCGAUGGCGAAGGCAGAUCUCUGGGCCGUAACUGACGCUGAUGCGCGAAAGCCAGGGGAGCGAACGGG
rnacentral:rRNA from 1 species